UACGUAGGGUGCGAGCGUUACUCGGAAUUACUGGGCGUAAAGCGUGCGCAGGCGGUUCGUUGUGUCGGCGGUGAAAGCCCCGGGCUUAACCUGGGAAUGGCCGUUGAAACUGGCGAACUGGAGUGUGGCAGAGGGGGGUGGAAUUCCGCGUGUAGCAGUGAAAUGCGUAGAGAUGCGGAGGAACACCGAUGGCGAAGGCAGCCCCCUGGGCUAACACUGACGCUCAGGCACGAAAGCGUGGGGAGCAAACAGG
rnacentral:rRNA from 1 species